UACAGAGGUCUCAAGCGUUGUUCGGAAUUACUGGGCGUAAAGGGCGCGUAGGCGGCGACUCAAGUUAGAUGUGAAAGUCCUGGGCUUAACCUGGGGACUGCAUUUGAUACUGGGUUGCUUGAAUUCGGGAGAGGAUAGCGGAAUUCCCAGUGUAGAGGUGAAAUUCGUAGAUAUUGGGAAGAACACCGGUGGCGAAGGCGGCUAUCUGGACCGACAUUGACGCUGAGGCGCGAAAGCGUGGGGAGCAAACAGG
rnacentral:rRNA from 1 species